UUUAAGUGCAACCAUGAGUUUCCAUGUCUAAUUUUGAUUGUCCGUCUUAUUUAAAUUUUUUUUUAUAAUUAGUAUUUUUAUUGUUAUGAGAUAAUAAAAUAUGAAUAGUACUUUACUUGUGUCUGCACUUAAAAUAGGACGAAGGAAGUAUUUAUUUUGAACAUGCAUAACGACACACGCAUUCCGU
rfam:Oryza glaberrima chromosome 6 Oglab06_0220_5, whole genome shotgun sequence.